rnacentral:rRNA from 1 species
UACGUAGGGGGCAAGCGUUGUCCGGAAUUAUUGGGCGUAAAGAGCUCGUAGGCGGUUUGUCACGUCUGCUGUGAAAUCCCGAGGCUCAACCUCGGGCCUGCAGUGGGUACGGGCAGACUGGAGUGCGGUAGGGGAGAAUGGAAUUCCUGGUGUAGCGGUGGAAUGCGCAGAUAUCAGGAGGAACACCAGUGGCGAAGGCGACUACCUGGCCUGUUCUUGACGCUGAGGCGCGAAAGCUAGGGGAGCAAACGGG